CGCCUACGAACAACCUCUUCGUUCUCGGCAAGCUUCGAAGACCUAUCGGCUGCCUUCUCAAGAUGGUUUCGCUUAAACUCGAUCUCUGUGUGCUCUUGCACUCCUUAGCAUACGCGAAUCCUCCUGCCAAUCGCCGCCGUGAAAACACAGACAGCGUCAGGGAAAGACGUCGUCUUCGACAUAAACUUUGCAGAAACUCCUGGAGAAGGCACAUUUUUUGUGAACAAUGGUGCAUCCCACGGGCUACUUCAGGACCGUCGUCAAUGACAGCUACAAAGCGAUUAACGUGAGUGUUUGG